rnacentral:rRNA from 1 species
CUGCUGCCUCCCGUAGGAGUUUGGGCCGUGUCUCAGUCCCAAUGUGGCCGUUCACCCUCUCAGGCCGGCUACUGAUCGUCGCCUUGGUGGGCUUCUACCCCGCCAACUAGCUAAUCAGACGCGGAUCCAUCUUACACCAUCGGAGUUUUUCACACUGAGCCAUGCGGCUCUGUGCGCUUAUGCGGUAUUAGCACCUAUUUCUAAGUGUUAUCCCCCAGUGCAAGGCAGGUUAUCCACGCGUUA